AGCGAACGCUGGCGGCAGGCUUAACACAUGCAAGUCGAGCGGGCCUUUCGGGGUCAGCGGCGGACGGGUGAGUAACGCGUGGGAACGUGCCCUCUGGUUCGGAAUAACUCAGGGAAACUUGAGCUAAUACCGGAUACGCCCUUUUGGGGAAAGGCUUGCUGCCGGAGGAUCGGCCCGCGUCUGAUUAGCUAGUUGGUGAGGUAACGGCUCACCAAGGCGACGAUCAGUAGCUGGUCUGAGAGGAUGAUCAGCCACACUGGGACUGAGACACGGCCCAGACUCCUACGGGAGGCAGCAGUGGGGAAUAUUGGACAAUGGGCGCAAGCCUGAUCCAGCCAUGCCGCGUGAGUGAUGAAGGCCUUAGGGUUGUAAAGCUCUUUUAGCCGGGACGAUAAUGACGGUACCGGAGGAAUAAGCCCCGGCUAACUUCGU
rnacentral:rRNA from 1 species